rnacentral:rRNA from 13 species
UUCGUAAUGAAUUUAAUGCAAAAAAGUACAUUUUGUAUGAAAACGCUAGCCUGGUUAUA